GCCCAGGUAGCUCAGCAGGUAGAGCGCCACGCUGUUAACGUGGCGGUCGCAGGUUCGAGCCCUGCCCUGGGCG
rfam:Candidatus Nanosalina sp. J07AB43 genomic scaffold scf_7180000030744, whole genome shotgun sequence.